rnacentral:rRNA from 1 species
GACCCAGCGACGCCGCGUGCGGGAUGAAGGCCUUCGGGUUGUAAACCGCUUUCAGCAAGGAAGAAGCGAAAGUGACGGUACUUGCAGAAGAAGCACCGGCUAACUAUGUGCCAGCAGCCGCGGUAAUACAUAGGGUGCAAGCGUUGUCCGGAAUUAUUGGGCGUAAAGAGCUCGUAGGUGGUUCGUCACGUCGGAUGUGAAAAUCUGGGGCUUAACCCCAGACCUGCAUUCGAUACGGGCGAGCUAGAGUGUGGUAGGGGAGACUGGAAUUCCU